AAGAAAAAAAAACUUAAAAAGCAAAACAGAGACAAGUUUGAACAAAACAAAAGAAAAAUUAACGAAACAUAAAAUAAGGAAAAAUAUUUUAUGCUGAGUGUGAUUUGUGUUUUCUAUAAAAAAUAAUGGUCUUUACGGUGCAAUUUUAUUGAUCGGGUAUUUAACAUUCACUCAUUUGAAGCAAAGCAACAACAACAAAAAACACACAAGCAAUAUGCGACCAACUCUUUUCAUUUGUACAGAAAUUUUUCUUUUUGUUUUGUUAUUUUGAAUUCGAUUGAUUUGAUUCGGAUUCAAUCCACUUUUAAUAGCUAAUGGAAUUUCGGUGAGGAAACGAAUACGUUUUCGAUGCAUAAAAAUGCUGCAACAUGCCAUUUUCCGGUGAUCGGGAGACAUCAAACGGUGGUCGUACAUCAAGUGGAUGAAGGAACAACCACAAAAAAAAACAAUUUGAGUUUGUUGGCGUUCAUUUUUGCUUUCCAGAUAUGGUAGGUUGAGUAAACUCUGCCUCUAUGUGCUCACAAAGCUUUACCGACUGGACGUAGAUGACAUUGUCAUACUUAACAUAAUUAUUACUUCUAAAGUCAAAUUCUUCCGAGAUUUAUUUUAAUUGUAAGUGACUGAUUAGUGACCACUGUGACCAGUCGUACCAAAAGUAAACAGAAAUUUGCCAGUCAUUUUCUUGAAAGACAGAAAAAAAAUAUUUUUAUUUACUGAAGAUAGAAUCUUAUCCUUGUGUGGAUGGCUUGCAGCAUUUUUAUGUAUCUAAAACAUAGUUCGAUUUUGCGGUUGCAAAUUAAGUUUUUUUUUUGUGGAAUUUUCGUUUUUUCAAUCAAUUGCAACAGAGUUUUGUUUCAUCAAGAAGAAGAAAAAAAUGUCGUGUAAGGAAAAUCGCGAUUCGUUGGUUGUAUUGAGGUAAAUUAAAUGAUUGAUUAAUUUUAGUAAUAAUUCGUUUCUGUAUUCAUCACAAUGUUGUCGGGCACCGUCAUUUCACUGUCGGUCUCUCCAUUUCUUCAGCUAUUUGAUGCAAUGAAUCGCGAAUGACGAACUGUUUAGGAAAAACUGAUUGUCGAGCACAGAAAGUCUAACAACAGGAAGUGAGUUGAUUUUAAGUUGUUGUAUCAAGUGCAAAAGAAUUUGAAUCUUGAAGCAUAAAAAUUGAACCGAUCAUCCGAGGUAAGUUUUCGAUGUGACAACUUCUUUCCCGCCUUUCUUAAAGAAAGGCAAUAGAUGGCAAGUGGCAAAACAGUAGGUAUAUCUACUGAUGUCAGCCUUGCAUUUCUAUGCGCCGAUGUAACUGUCUUACAAAACAGUAGACGACGAUUUCUUUCCCAAAUAUUUGUGUUACGAAAGUCGAUAUGCGUGUCGCAUGUCGAGCAAUACCAUCCAUUUUUUUAGUAGUUUGCAUAACUAAACAACAGAACCAUCACUCAGUACCAUAGAAAUAUUAUUUGAAGGAAAAGCUGCUUAUGAUUUCUUCGAUGUGUCUCAGACAAAUAUUUGUCUAUUAAAUUGAUUGGUAAUGCAACAUUCACACCUCUCACCAGUUGAUCCAAAUAAUAUUAUUUUUUGCAUUUCAUACAGUUAAUGUCAACCAAAUUUAUGGUUAGAUUUGCUUCACCUGUUUUACCAGGUCAUUCAUACAACUUUUAUGUCUUCAUAAGUUUCUGUCUUUUUGUCAUUAUAUAUCUCACAAUUGUAAAGUGAACUUUACAGUAGAGCAAGCGAACUUCAAGUAGCUCGAUACAUAAAACUAUUUAAGCCAUUAGAACUGUGAGCCGGUAUCUCGGUUCUCGAUGUAGUAAUCAAGGUUUACUCCAUCUAGAACCGUUUACUUUUACUC